rnacentral:rRNA from 1 species
CCUACGGGCCGCAGCAUUGGGGAAUAUUGGACAAUGGGCGAAAGCCUGAUCCAGCAAUGCCGCGUGUGUGAAGAAGGUCUUCGGAUUGUAAAGCACUUUCGACGGGGACGAUGAUGACGGUACCCGUAGAAGAAGCCCCGGCUAACUUCGUGCAGCAGCCGCGGUAAUACGAAGGGGGCUAGCGUUGCUCGGAAUGACUGGGCGUAAAGGGCGCGUAGGCGGUUUAUGCAGUCAGAUGUGAAAUCCCCGGGCUUAACCUGGGAACUGCAUUUGAGACGCAUAGACUAGAGGUCGAGAGAGGGUUGUGGAAUUCCCGGUGUAGAGGUGAAAUUCGUAGAUAUUGGGAAGAGCACCGGUGGCGAAGGCGGCAACCUGGCUCGAUACUGACGCUGAGGCGCGAAAGCGUGGGGAGCAAACAGGAUUAGAUACCCGGGUAGUC